AGAUUCCUACGGGAGGCAGCAGUGAGGAAUAUUGGACAAUGGAUGGAAAUCUGAUCCAGCCAUGCCGCGUGCAGGAAGACAGCCCUAUGGGUUGUAAACUGCUUUUAUAUGGGAGCAAUAAGGUCUACGUGUAGACUGAUGAGAGUACCAUAUGAAUAAGCAUCGGCUAACUCCGUGCCAGCAGCCGCGGUAAUACGGAGGAUGCGAGCGUUAUCCGGAUUUAUUGGGUUUAAAGGGUGCGUAGGCGGCCGAGUAAGUCAGCGGUGAAAUUUUGCAGCUUAACUGUAACAGUGCCGUUGAUACUGCAUGGCUAGGAUUUGGUUGCUGUGGGUGGAAUGUGUGGUGUAGCGGUGAAAUGCUUAGAUAUCACACAGAAUAUCAAUUGCGAAGGCAGCUCACAAAGCCAAGAUUGACGCUGAGGCACGAAAGUGUGGGGAUCAAACAGGAUUAGAUACCCUGGUAGUCCACACUGUAAACGAUGAUAACUCACUGCCGGCGAUACACAGUCGGUGGCCAAGCGAAAGCGAUAAGUUAUCCACCUGGGGAGUACGACCGCAAGGUUGAAACUCAAAGGAAUUGACGGA
rnacentral:rRNA from 1 species